rnacentral:rRNA from 1 species
AUUGAACGCUGGCGGCAGGCUUAACACAUGCAAGUCGAGCGAGCGGCGGACGGGUGAGUAAGGUCUGGGAAACUGCCUGAGGGAGGGGGAUAACUACUGGAAACGGUGGCUAAUACCGCAUACUAUCGGAUGAAACCAUAGGGGAUUAGCUAGUAGGUGGGGGAAAGGCUCACCGAGGAGACGAUCUCUAGCUGGGCUGAGAGGUUGAUCAGCCACACUGGGACUGAGACACGGCCCAGACUCCUACGGUAGGCAGCAGUGGGGAAUAUUGCACAAUGGUCGCAAGCCUGAUGCAGCCAUGCCGCGUGUAUGAAGAAGGCCUUAGGGUUGUAAAGUACUUUCAGCGGGGAGGCGUUACCCGCAGAAGAAGCACCGGCUAACUCCGUGCCAGCAGCCGCGGUAAUUC